ACGAACGCUGGCGGCGUGCCUAAUACAUGCAAGUUGAGCGCUGAAGGUUGGUACUUGUACCAACUGGAUGAGCAGCGAACGGGUGAGUAACGCGUGGGGAAUCUGCCUUUGAGCGGGGGACAACAUUUGGAAACGAAUGCUAAUACCGCAUAAAAACUUUAAACACAAGUUUUCAGUUUGAAAGAUGCAAUUGCAUCACUCAAAGAUGAUCCCGCGUUGUAUUAGCUAGUUGGUGAGGUAAAGGCUCACCAAGGCGAUGAUACAUAGCCGACCUGAGAGGGUGAUCGGCCACAUUGGGACUGAGACACGGCCCAAACUCCUACGGGAGGCAGCAGUAGGGAAUCUUCGGCAAUGGACGAAAGUCUGACCGAGCAACGCCGCGUGAGUGAAGAAGGUUUUCGGAUCGUAAAACUCUGUUGGUAGAGAAGAACGUUGGUGAGAGUGGAAAGCUCAUCAAGUGACGGUAACUACCCAGAAAGGGACGGCUAACUACGUG
rnacentral:rRNA from 1 species